UACGGGGGGGAGCAAGCGUUGUUCGGAUUUACUGGGCGUAAAGGGCGCGUAGGCGGCGUGACAAGUCACUUGUGAAAUCUCCGGGCUUAACUCGGAACGGUCAAGUGAUACUGUCGUGCUAGAGUACAGAAGGGGCAACUGGAAUUCUCGGUGUAGCGGUGAAAUGCGUAGAUAUCGAGAGGAACACCUGCGGCGAAGGCGGGUUGCUGGGCCGACCCUGACGCUCAUGCACGGAAAGCGUGGGGGAGCAAACAGG
rnacentral:rRNA from 1 species